rnacentral:rRNA from 1 species
CUUGCUUUCUUUGCUGGCGACCGGCGCACGGGUGAGUAACACGUAUCCAACCUGCCCUUUACUCGGGGAUAGCCUUUCGAAAGAAAGAUUAAUACCCGAUAGCAUAAUGAUUCCGCAUGGUUUCAUUAUUAAAGGAUUCCGGUAAAGGAGGGGGAUGCGUUCCAUUAGGUUGUUGGUGAGGUAACGGCCCACCAAGCCUUCGAUGGAUAGGGGUUCUGAGAGGAAGGUCCCCCACAUUGGAACUGAGACACGGUCCAA